rnacentral:rRNA from 1 species
CCUACGGGGGGCUGCAGUGAGGAAUAUUGGUCAAUGGACGAGAGUCUGAACCAGCCAAGUAGCGUGAAGGAUGACUGCCCUAUGGGUUGUAAACUUCUUUUAUAUGGGAAUAAAAUGUUCCACGUGUGGGAUUUUGUAUGUACCAUAUGAAUAAGGAUCGGCUAACUCCGUGCCAGCAGCCGCGGUAAUACGGAGGAUCCGAGCGUUAUCCGGGUUUAUUGGGUUUAAAGGGAGCGUAGGUGGAUUGGUAAGUCAGUUGUGAAAGUUUGCGGCUCAACCGUAAAAUUGCAGUUGAAACUGGCAGUCUUGAGUACAGUAGAGGUGGGCGGAAUGCGUGGUGUAGCGGUGAAAUGCUUAGAUAUCACGAAGAACUCCGAUUGCGAAGGCAGCUCACUGGCGUGCAACUGACACUGAGGCUCGAAAGUGUGGGUAUCGAACAGGAUUAGAUACCCUUGUAGUC